AGUCACUGACAUUAGAUACCCCUGUAGUCCAGGGUGUAAACGCUGCAGACUUGGUGUUGGAAGCCCUUUGGGGGCAUUCAGUGCCGGAGAGAAGUUGUUAAGUCUGCUACUUGGGGGGUACGUCCGCAAGGAUGAAACUUAAAGGAAUUGGCGGGGGAGCACCACAACGGGAGGAGCGUGCGGUUUAAUUGGAUUCAACACCGUAAAACUCACCAGGGAAGACUGUUACAUGAAGGCCGAGAUGAAGACUCUGCUAGAUUUUCAG
rnacentral:rRNA from 1 species